GGCAUAGAAAACAAUAUGGCUCAGUCUUAGAGCAUGAGACUCUUAAUCUCAGGGCUGUGGUUUUGAUUCCCACCUUGGCCA